AACCAAGAAAAGCUCCAAAAAAACCCAACAGCCUGUUUGAAUGUUCAGACCAAGCACCCCUUCCCACGCCACAGCUGACUAGCACUGAGAGAGCCAUUCACUAAGAAUUCCAUCUUUAACCAUCUGCUUUUUGGGCACCAACACUGCUCCUCCCACAAUAGUGAUGAUUGUGCAGGCAGAUUCCUGAAUAAGUGCCUCCCCUUCCUAUGGCUUGAUUAGGAAGACUCAGUGUAACAAAGGAAGCAACACAACCAUAUCAUAUUAUCUGAUGUACGUUGGAUACUCAUGCUUUGAAAACUACUAUUAACUCAGAAAGGGUACAAAAUCAAUGCUUAUAAGCCAGCAAGUCUGCUGCACUUUAGAAAGAUAAAUGGAUGUCAGCUGCAGAAAGGAAAGCAGAGAAGAAAACAUUAAAGGAACAAGGAGGAAAUGUUUUGUAUGGCUUUUAGUAGGAACAUCCUACUAAUUUGAAGAUGGCCAGAGAUUUCUUUAUUUAUGUAUAUCCAACAAGGAUUUAAAACAAUAAAUAGCCAAACCAGUGAA